ACAACUCUGAGAUAGCACUUCUGUAGUAAGGGAUUUUGCAAGCUGACAGCAAGAGAUCCUGGAGACCAACAUUCCACACAGAACUCUCAGAAGCUGGGGAACUGAAACACACAGGCAGUUGCUGGACACAGUUGGUGAAUUCUGGAAAGAUGGAGAGUCUGCUGUUUUUCUCUAGCAGUUAGGAAAAGUCCAGAGAUUUUCUGUUUGGUAUUUCUGGGGUGGACCCAAAGAGCCAGUGAUUCCCUCUUCUUUGACUUUCUUGAUAUUCUGGCUGUUCCUGCCUGUUGCUGCUACAGAGAAGUGGAUUUCAACAAUACCGAUU
rnacentral:lncRNA from 1 species